GUAGCGAUGAUGAGUUUAUAGUUUGGUGUGGGCAGUGGACAAUGGUGAUAGUAUAUUGUUUGUUAUCUCCGUGAGCCUUUCUCACCAUUAUUACAACUUUUCCUUCCACUGAGCUUA